GUAAAACCCGGAUAGUUGCCUCGGACGGAUACAUGCCCCGGUGUUUAAUAAACUAUAUUACGAUUAUAAUUUGUGUUAGCGCUUUACUACAAUAAGUUGUGACCACCCCGAAGGCCUAAAUGCCGCAUAAGCCAUCGGAAUAGGCGCACUUGUUUUGUCUGUGUGAGCAAAAAUCUUCCGCGGCGAAACUUUGACGGGCGUUAUAAUUAUAUUGAUAAGCAAAAUGCCUCGCAAAUAUAAGCGAAAAUCAGGCGUGGUGCCACGCAACAUCAACUGGACAGAAGAGAGCUUAGCACUUGCCUUCGAAGAAUUGAGACAAAAAAAAAAGGUAUCAAUGAAAUUUCUCGAACAUACGGAAUAUCCGCUCGAACCUUAAGAAGACGCUAUAAAAAGAGUAACCAGCAACUGCUAACUCAAGGAAAAUAUCCUGUUCUUGGCUUUGAGAAUGAAAAACUAGACUGGUAGCUCAUAUAUUAAAGCUCGGAGACGCCGGUUUUCCUCCUGACAGAAUUGUGAUUCGCCAAUUAGCUUAUCAGUUUGCUGAUAAGUUAGGAUUAAAGCACAACUUUAAUAAUGAGAGUAAGAUGGCUGGACAGCAAUGGCUAAGAAGCUUUCUUGAAAGAAAUCCUGAAAUAGCAUUGAGACAAGCUGAGGGCUUAUCAAUUGACAGAGCGAUGGGUCUUAAUAGAACAGAAGUUGCAAAUUUUUUCAAACUCUUAACAACUAUUUUAACGGAGAAUAAUUUGCUGGAUAAGCCAGAUAGAAUAUUUAACAUGGAUGAAAGCGGUGUCCAACUCAAUAAUAAAAUUGGUACUUGCCCUAAGAAAGGUGCUAAAGCAGUUAAAUCAGUUACUUCUGGCGAAAAAGUUUUAAAAACUGUUAAAUGAAUAAUAAAGAUUACUCUAAUUGAUAUAAAUUUCUUUCUAUCCAAAAUAAAAAUCAUACUGAGGCAAGUAUCCCCCGAAGCAUUUUCUACGCUAGGCUACUAUCCGCCAUAGUAGGCAACUAUCCCUCUUCUGAGAGAUAAAAUAAAACAGUAUUUACUCAAAACCAUUGUUAAUUAUGUAUACAAAAAUAGGCUUUUAUAGAAGAUAAAAGACCUAUGUUGUGAGAUACAUACUGAAUAAUUUUCAGCAACUUCAUAUUUUUA